CCUUGUACACACCGCCCGUCACACCACGAAGGUGGAUUGUACCCGAAGUCCUCGGACCAACCCGCAAGGGAGGUAGAGGCCCAAGGUAUGAUUCAUGAUUGGGGUG
rnacentral:rRNA from 1 species